UCAAAAAAAUUCAUAAUUUUUUUUUCUUAAAUUGUUCGUCCUUUUGCUGCCAAAUCUCCUCAGACCAUCUUCCCCCUUCUUCUUUCUCCCUUCCUAACCCUAAAACACACCCUUUUUUUAUCAACCCACUUUUUUCUCAUAACCAACCACACCCUUCUUUUAGUGUUUCUGUUUUGAAAGCGUUGUCUGGGUACUCCAGAUUAAUGCAUGCAAUGAUCCACAUAUAUGGUGUUCUUGAAAAUUCAGUUUUAUGGAAUAAUAUUGUGGGUUGAAAGAAAGGAUUGAAUGUAUAAAUUUUUUAUUUUGGUAUUCAAUGGUUCCGGCUCCGAUUAACCAAAAGUACUUUUUUUAACUGGAAUGGGAAGUACUUCAAGUUUUCAUUUUAGCCAACAUUGCAGGUUUGGAGAAACGAGGCUUGGAGGCAAGGAUUUAAGGAUAUGCAUGGAUUCCAAAGGAUGACAACAUCCACAUGUGGGUCUAUAUAAAGCUUGAUCCUUAUUGAGGCCACAAAAUUGGUUGCAAAGCUUGAUGAGAAGGAAAGAAAUAGUUUACCAAUGCUUAGACAAGUUGAUUUCAUUGAUGUGGUCCUUCAUGAAGGUCUCCCUAGCUGUUGGCUUUUUUAUUUAUUUUGCUAAUGAAUAUAUUAUUGGGUAAUUUUUCAAUAAUGUGUUGUCUUUGCUCCAGGGUUUCUCUGGGAUGAAUGACAUGGAUUUUGUAAUUGAAUCAGUUUUCAUAGUUAUAUUGUUGUGCAUUAAUUCUUAAUAAUAAGCUUUUGAGGUGGUAAUCUUGUCAUUAUUAACUUCUUUCAUUUUCAAGAGUUAGACAAUGAUAUGAGGAAGUGUAAGGAAGAGUUCAAGGAGUUUGAAAGGCAUGAUGUUAACUACCAGAAAGAUUUUAAGCACAUAAGUCAGAAGAUCAAAAAGCUAGAGGAUAAACUAGAAAAGGUAGAGAAGCAAGUCAUAGUUCAUUGCAAUGAGACAUAUAAUUCUUUUGUUUCUACUUUGUAUGUCAGGAUUCAUCCAAAAUUGAAGCCCUUAUGAAAAAGGGCGAGGAAUCCACUGAUUUGAUACCAAAACUUGAGGACAAUAUUCUAAAACUGCAAAAGUUAUUGCUUGAUGAGGAGAAGAUCUUGGAUGAAAUCACAAAGAGUUCCAAAGUUUGGGAGGGUUCCAUAACUUCUCUCCCUGUUUUACCUUACUAUUUUCUCAGGCUACCAAUGAUAUGGACAAAAGGCCAUUUUCCAUGAGUAUCUCAUUUUAUAAAGGUUGUUCUGGUAGUUGAAAACUUGAUGGUUAACAUUGCAUUCACCAUUGUUUUGGUUAUCCAAGAUCACUAGCAUGUAAUCUUUACAGAAUGGAAAUGUUCAAGGAGUACUAAUAGAGAUUGAAGAAAGUCUUCUAAUUGUUGUAAGUCUCCCUUAUUGAUUCUUUCUAUAUAUUCAUGCUAAGAAUUUGAUUUUGGCCUGUUUAAUGUAUUUACAACCAUCAUUUAACCGUGCAAGGAUUGCUACAACAUUGCAACUAGAUCAGACAAGAUUUUAUCUAUUGUUAUGAUAGUCUUUGUUGUCUUCUCUAACGUGGUGGCUAUAUAUAGUGAUGCCUUGAUCAAGCAGAACCAAACUUCACGCGAAUGAUUUCCAUCAUUCUAAAUAAGAGAAGCUGAAUUAGGAAAUUUGGGUUUUCCAAAAGGAUCCGAUGGAUUGAUUUGAAUGAACAGAGAAGUUACCCUGUGUACAAAAGUGCUUCAAAAGUGUUACAGUCUACAACAUGCGUCCAUCCUCCUCUGUAAUUUGCCAUUUGUUGUAGUAGUUGAUAGUUUUUUUGAACAAUACUCUCUAUCCCUUUCCUUGAUUUGUUGGCAUUUGUAUGUAUUGUAUUGAGUGAAAAUGAAUGAAUUUGUUAAAGAAAUGGUAUACAUUUGAAGAAUU